AUUGAACGCUGGCGGCAGGCUUAACACAUGCAAGUCGAGCGAGCGGCGGACGGGUGAGUAAUGUCUGGGAAACUGCCUGAUGGAGGGGGAUAACUACAUGAAACGGGAGCUAAUACCGCAUACCAGUAGAAGUGCCCAGAUGGGAUUAGCUAGUAGGUGGGGUAAUGGCUCACCUAGGCGACGAUCCCUAGAUGGUCUGAGAGGAUGACCAGCCACACUGUAACUGAGACACGGUCCAGACGCCGACGUGAGGCAGCAGUGGGGAAUAUUGCACAAUUGGCGCAAGCCUGAUGCAGCCAUGCCGCGUGUGUGAGGAAGGCCUUCGGGUUGUAAAGCACUUUCAGCGAGGGGGCGUUACUCGCAGAAGAAGCACCGGCUAACUCCGUGCCAGCGGCCGCGGUAAUAC
rnacentral:rRNA from 1 species